CAUCAGAGUGGCGCAGCGGAAGCGUGGUGGGCCCAUAACCCACAGGUCCCUGGAUCAAAAUUCAAUUUCUAAGUAGACGUUUUGAUGUUUUGGUUUCUUGAGUUAUUGGCGCAUUAAAAAAUUAUAUUUAAUCCAUCCGAUGUCGAAAAAUUCUAAUUUUUGGGGGAAAUGUUUUUUUAUGUUCUUAAUAUGCGGGCAAAAAAUAAUAAAAAAAUUCAACAUCUAUAUAACUUUUUCGGACGCCUGAUUGAAAAAUAAUGCGAUUUUAUGCGUUUCAGUAAAAAAUUCAAAAUAAAUUGAGGAUUAGUCAAAAUAGUAUGAAAAUUUGCAAAUCCUAUAUAUGUAUUUUUAUAGAGAUGUAUGCUAAAAAACAGCUCAAAAUUCAAUUUUUACGUUGAUGUUUUCGUGUCUUAAGUUUUAGGCGCGUUAAAAAUUCAUAUUUAAUCCAUCCCUUGUCGAAAAAUUCAAAUUUUUUGUGGGAGAUGUUCUUUUUUUGUUCCAAACAUGAUUGCAAAAAAUUUUGAAAAAGUUCAACCUCUAGGACACUUUUUCGGACUCGCAGUUGGAAAAAAACAGUGAUUUUGCAUGGUUCGGUCGAAAAAAAUAAAUAAAUCGAGACUUAGUCGAAAUGCUAAGAAACUUUAUAGACACCUCUAUAAAAGUACAUAUAGAUGAUGUGCAAAGUUUCGUAACAUUCCGAAUAAGUGUCUGUAAAGUUUCGAGACUUAUUUGGAAUGUUACAAAACUUUUCACAUCAUCUAUAUGUAUUUUUAUAGAGGUGUCUGUAAAAUUUUGUAGAAUUCUGAAUAAAUUUCGAUUUAUUUUGAUUUUUCGAUCAAAACGUGUAAAAUCACAACUGAAAUUGCACUGAAGUUCCGGGGUAAUUCGUAACUUCCAUAUGUCAAUAUGAAGUUCUUAAUGUUAGAAAAGCAAUUUUCUAUUUAUUUUUUCAUUUAUAUGCUGAUGUUGGUAAUGGUUUGUAUUUCAUCCACCAUCACGAAAACAUAUGCUAAGAACUUUCAGUCCCACAUAAAAUGAGUCUUGAAACUUGUUGGUGCACGUAGGUUGUGCUUUUCUUAUUGAACAAAAAUCAUGAUGUGUAUGCUUUUUAAAUCAAAGUAGAAGCACAAUGGUGAUUUUAUGAAAAGGAAAGAACCUUGGGAUUGCAUUUUUUUAGGUGCUUCUUGUAUGCUUUUAAAUGAAGUACUCAUGAUUUCCAUAAAUUUACAAUUUUCUUUUAGUUUGUUUUAGUCACAAAAGAUGUAUUUUUUUAUUAAAAAAUCAUACAAAAAAUACAUAUAAAAUGGACAUAAGUUUUGUCCUAAGAAAAAUUGAUUGUGCUCUAUAUAAUCACUCUUUAUUCCCUUGUAAUUUUCACCUUUUCCAAUAUUUUAAUACAAUUUAUAUCUUCAAUCUCUGUGUUUUUCUCUCUUCUAUGAACUUUAUCUUGUUUUUUUAAACGUACAAAUUGUCAUUGCAUAACAUUUUUCUUGUAAUAUCAAAACUAAUUUUGAACGGUAGAAGAAUUAAAUCCAAAAAUUUAUAUGGUAAGAAUCAGAGAACAUAUAUAAUGAAUGCGUCAUAACUUUACUUACAAAGUAAUGACAUAUAUUGAAAGGAUAUUUUUAAAAAGUAAUGAAGGAGUCCAUUUAAAGAGGUAUAUAUAAAAAAAGUAGAUUCCAUAAAAAAAAUACAAAAAGUAGAUAACAGAUCAUAUCACUUUCAAAAACUUCUUUGUGUCUUUCUUCAAAUGCAAGAAAUGUAGAUAAUCUUAAAUAGAGUGGAUCUUAAUCAAUAUUAAACCAUAUCAUCUUAGAUGCUUUCAAUGCUCUAUCUCUUAAGUUAUUUUUUUUCUUCUUCUUGAAAACUUACUCAUUUACUUAAAGACAUUGGUUAAGAGGAUAAAAAUAUAAAUAUUGUAUUAAAAACUGAUGAAAAAUGAUUAAUUUAACUUUUUAAAACUUAAAAUAUUGUCGAACACGUGUUAUGGUUCCACAUUUAAUGAGGUAUGACCCGAACACAUGCUUAUAAUCGGUUUUGUUAGGUUGAGUUAGAUACAAUUCAAAUUUUAAGACUAAUUUAUACAAUUAAACAUAUAGGUAGGCCAUUGCAAAAUUGUUAAUCAUUAUCAAGUCUAAACGACAAUUAUUAUCAGGUACAAAAAUUUAGUUUUGAAGAACUAAUAGAAAACAAAUACAAAUAGAAAUUUUAGAAUGAAAAUUGAUCUUGUAGUGGUAUCAACAUUAAUAUGAUCAAUCUAAUAAAAUUAAAGAUAUUGUUUUACUAUAUAAUGAAGUCACCAAAGUUUAAAGAAUGUGCCACCAUUGAUUAGUUCACACAACAUGAACAUGAUUAAAAACAUGAAGGUCUUAUGCAAUUCGACAAAAGAUUUUAAAUCAAGGUAACAGAAAGUAAGAUUUCUAAUCAAUAUGAACAUGAAAGUCUUAUGAAGAGUUUAUUUAUUAAUGAAAGAUGUAAUCAACAUUGCAUAAUGUAAUAAAUUACAUCAAAUAUAGAUUUACAACAAAAUCAAAGUGGUGUAGCGGAAAUCAGAGUGGUGCAACGGUAGCAUGGUGGACCAAUAACCCACAUGUUCUUAGAUUGAAACCGCUCUAAUAAAAUUAAUGUGUUUUUUAGUUUAAAAUAAUAAAAGUUUCAUUUUGAUCCCUUAACACCAUUUUUAUUAGUCAAAUUGGUCCCUUCUGUUAGUUUUCUAAUGUUUAAUAUUUUUUAUAUGACUUAAACGAUUUGAUUGUAGGUCCAUUGUAUUUUUCUAAUGUUUAAUAUUUCACUUUUCUUCAUCUUCCCUCUUCUUCUUCUUCUUCUUCUUCUUCUUCAUGAUCUUCAUCUUCUUCAUGAUCUUCAUCAUAUUACUCAGAACCAAAAUAACUUCAAAUUCUAAAACUAAAAAAAAAAAAAAAACAUGUGCAAUAAAAAACUUAAAUUCCAUAAACCUCAAUACAUAAAUCUGAGAAACCUAAAAUAUAAAAACCAUCACCACCGAAACUUCAUAAAUCCCAAAAACCACCCCAAAAGCUUCCACCUCUGUCACCACAACCCCUUACGAAUUCUUCGCAUUAUUCCGCACCAUGUUUCUAAUACGUUGAAACCAACACAUCACAAUUGCUUCAAAUCAGGGUUUGCUGUUUCAUCAUCUUCAACGAAACCAAACUCACCCAUCAUCAAAACAAAGACUCACCUUAAAGCUUCAACCUAUAAACAACUCAAUAGUUUUAAUUUCCCUAAAGCUUCAACCUUUACCACUUUCUUCACUCAAAGUCACAGUUUUUUCAUCUGGGUAUUUUUUAUAUUUUUUUGAAAAAAGAAGAAAAAAUGUUUGAUUUUGAACCAAUUGCAAAAGACAGUGUUUUUUUUGUUUCUUCAACGAUUGUUGCUGUGUUUCAUUUCCUAAAAAUUGACUUGGAGAUUGAAAUAUAUAGAAUUGAUCAUACAUGCAGGUUUUGGUAUGUGUAGUAUAACUUUUAAUCACAAUGGGUUGUUUAGUGAUGGAUACAUGAUUUAAUUUGUAGCUCUGGUAAUAAAUUGGGGGUGAUGAUGAGUGGGAGGAGAUGAUAAUAAUUUGGGGAUUUAUGAGUCUUGAAGGAAGAAGAAGAAGAAGCGACGAAGAUUCCGAUUUAAAAAAAUGAAUUUGAGUUUUUUAUUUUUUAUUUUCUAGGUUUGAAGGCAAAUGAAGGUGUAUGAAGAUAUGAUGAAGAUGGAGAAAAGAGGAGGGAAUAAGAUGAAGAUAAGUAAAAAAAAUAAAUUAAGUUUUGGUGGUUUACACUAAGAUAUAAUGGAAUCCAAUCAUCUUUAUUUUGUCAAAAAGAUCUAAUGGUUCAAAUUUAAAAAAUAAGUAAGGUCUAUGGUGGACAGUCUACAAUGUUGAUCCACCUUAGACAUUUAAGGUUAAAAACUGACGGAAAGGACCACUUUGACAAACAGAGAUAGAGUUUAGGGAUCAAAACGAAAUUUUUAAUAAUUAGAGGACCAAAAUGAAACUAAAAAAUUAUUUAGAUGACCAAAUAUGAAAUUUAGCUUUUUUUUAACAAAAUAAAAUAGCAUAUUGAUUAUGUUUUUUUUAACAAAUAAAAAUAAAAUUUUGUCUUCAAUUUUUCUAAAAGAAACACUUAAACUUAUUGUUCAACUCACUUCCAAGAAGAUUAUUGAACAUAACUAUUUCACCUUAAAAUCACUUUUUACUUAAAAUAAAUUAACAAAAUCAACCUUCAUCACACCAUAGAACUAAACAUGAACUCACAGACUUCAAAUAUAUACUGAACAAAGUGAAUGAUUACGGGAAAGACACAUGCUUUAGGGAAAUAAGGAAAGUGAUCUUCAUACUGGAAUCAAUGGUAACAACACUAACAAUUUCUUUGCACAUUCACAAUAUUAACAUAAAUAUAUGAAAAAUAUAGCAACUAAAUUGAGCCAUCAUUAAAAUAGAUGUUCAUGUUAUAUUUAUAUUCAAAAUGUAAGUGUUCCAUACCUUGAUAUGUUAUCUGCAUCUAUUUAUGAUAGAAUGUACUAUGUGCAAGUCUUUCCUCUACUUCGUUUUGCAAAAAGAAGAAACUUGAGCAAGUGCAACUAAUAAGCAUAUAGUGAUAUGUUGGGAAAUUGAGCAUUGCAAAGUCUUUUUUUUUUUUUUUUUACGCAACGUUAUAAAGUCUAAGUAACAAUUACUCAUAUGAUUUGCCUUAAAAUAAUAUUACUCUCAUAUUAAAUUGCAAAUGAUAAGAAAUAAAAUGAAAUUGUCAGUUCAAAAAUUGAAUCAUUAUACAAAAUUUAGGAAUCAUCUAAUUCAUUUUCCAUUUAAAGAAAGGUAUAAAAAUGGAGCACACAUUAUUUUCUCAUGAGUCAAGCAUAACACAACUAAACCAUCUCCAAAUGUUGUUGGAAAGGAUGAUAUGAAGUAAGAUGCGGCAUGAAGUUCGUCCUAUAACUGCUAACCGUUAAGAGUUCCAUAUUUAAUGAGGUAUGACACAAACAAGUACUUAGAACCGGUUUUGUUAGGUUGAGUUAGACACAAUUCAAAUUUGAAGACUAAUUUAUACAAUUGAACACAAUUUGGUGCGCAUGAUAGAGAGACAUGAUAUGAUAACUCUAUCUUAUCGUAUUUAAAUCCUUUGUUUGGUGCAGCAAUAUGAUAUGAGAAAUCAAACCUUUUAUUUAUCUUAUCCUAUAAACUCUUUGUUUUUUUAAUCCUUAGUUUAGGCUGGGUUAGCAACCUAAAAACCAAAAAACAUGCGCUUUUAAUAUUUCUCAAAAGACCUUCCUUCUACUCCCUCUAUCUGCAAACUGCACUCCGUCUCCAAUAUGAUCUGAAACAACCCUAUCGACUCCUCCCACCCACUCUCAUACUUUUUUGCAACCCUAAUCGAUGAUUAAUGCCAAUUUCAAAUUUUCCCUAAUUUUUUAUUUGUUAAUCGAUGUUUUUUUUUUCAAUCAUCGUGAUUUAUUUGUUUUUCAAUCGAUAUCUUCCUGUUUAUUUGUUUGUUUCCCACUGUACCACCGCUUCAAAAAUCAUUUGUUUACCUAAUCGAUGUGUGGGAACAAACUCAUUAAUAAAGUAAGCACUCAUAAACUUUUUGAUUGUGAAUCCUGAAUCAUUAAUUCAUACAUGUUAAGGAGCAUGUUUGCCAAAUAGUCUAUAACAGCAAAGCGUGACAUGAAGUUUUUUGUUUAUAUGUAUAAUAUCAUGUCAACAUUAUGAGUGCACCAAACACAUGAUAGGAUAAGUUCUAUCAUGUUAUUAUCAUAUCCUAUCCUUAUCCAAUUCAUUUUCAUAUCCUAUCUCUAUCAUAUCAUGUGCACCAAACGGGCCGAAACAUAUAGGUAGGCCAUUGCAAACACUCUAACCAUUAUCAAUUCUAAACAACAAUUAUUAUUAUCAAGUAAAAAAAAUUAGUUUUGAUGUUAUAAUUAAUAGAAAACAAAUACAAAUAGAAAUUUUAGAAUGAAAAUUGAUCAUGUUCGCCGUAGUAUCGACAUUAAUAUGAUCAAUCUAAUAAUCCAAAGAUAUUGUUGUACUAUAUAAUGACAUCACCAAAGUUUAAAGAAUGCGCCACCGUUGGAUUGAACUCAUGGUUUAAUUAACAUUAACAAGAUUAAAGACAUGAAGGUCUUAUACAAUUAGGCAAAAGAUUUCAAAUAUAGGAAACACAGUAAGAUUACCAGAUUGAUUCAUGAAUGAGUAAGGUUAUUAAGAAAAGAUGUAAAACAUAGCAUUAGUUAAAAUUGUAUAAUUUAAUCAACAAGAUCAGAGUGGCGCAGCGGAAGCGUGGUGGGCCCAUAACCCACAGGUCCCUGGAUUGAAACCAGGCUCUGAUAAAACCACCAAUUUUUAACUAAUU
rnacentral:tRNA from 1 species